UACGUAGGCAGCAAGCGUUGUUCGGAGUUACUGGGCGUAAAGGGUGUGUAGGCGGUUCCUUAAGUUUGCUGUGAAAUCUCCCGGCUUAACCGGGAGGGUGCGGUGAAUACUGAGGGACUAGAGUACGGGAGAGGAAAGUGGAAUUCCUGGUGUAGCGGUGAAAUGCGUAGAUAUCAGGAGGAACACCGGUGGUGUAGACGGCUUUCUGGACCGUAACUGACGCUGAGACACGAAAGCGUGGGGUAGCAAACGGG
rnacentral:rRNA from 1 species